CGGGUUCUGCUCUUCUCGUGCAAGGCCUUUUUCCAGUGGCCGAUAAGCAUUACCGAGGGAGCUGGCUCUGUCAGGGUCCUGGCCCUGGUAUCUGGCGCCCACCUGAUUCGUCAGGCUCUCGGGAAAUCGAAGCCUCUCACGGUCGCUGCGGGCCCGCC
rnacentral:sRNA from 1 species